rnacentral:snRNA from 1 species
AUGUGUUAGAACUCUUUUAAAAUUUGUCUAGCAGGUUUUCUGAUUUUUACUGGAAAAAUCCCC